AUGGGUGAGCUGCAAACUGCAAGUUGUGAACAGCGCCCCACAGCAACAGUGUCUAGGAGAGAUGUCUCAAACCCGUUUCCCCAGGAGCCACGAAAGCACUCUAAGCCCCUCGCUGCCCUUGCUUCUGCUGUGUGCCUUCAUUUGCAGGCUGAUGUUGGACACAGCUGGGAGGCUGGAUGCCAUGCUAGGAUCCCACCCAGCCAGCAGGAGCCUGGAGCCAGGGCAAUGCUGGGCGACUGUCGGUGGCACCACAGAAAGGGGGCAUCACAGCACCAUGAAGUGAGAGUGAAAGGAACGGGCCUCUUCAGUCAUGACCAGUUCCUGAGCGUGCAGUCCUGCCUAACUGCCAUGCAAACUCUCCGUGGGCGAAGAUCCUCCUGCAAGCCCCUGUGCGCUGAGCCUGGAAUUGGCAGCGGGGCUUCUGGGAAUGCGUACAGAACCAGAAACACAGCAUCUGGGUUUGAGUUCCUCAGAGCUGCUUAAAGUAGAGCACAUCUCACAGUAUCUAUGGACUUUCAUUUCCUUUUCUAAAAAUGGAGAAUGAAAUUAGAAGGCACGGGAGAAUGAGUCAGAUCUGAAACUGUGAGUUUUUGUCAUUGUGACCAUUACUGUUGUUAUUCCACUUCGAAGCAGCAGCCCUCACGCAAAAGGCUCUGCUGGGGCUUUUUCUAUGCUGAGGCCAGGGGGCCAGUGUCCUAGUGCACUUGCCUCCAGCUCCUGCCAAUCACAGUCUCUGUGUCUACUCAUGCUGUUGACAGACAUGCGCAUUUCACUUAACUGGGAACUCAAUUCCAGAUGAGCCCCAAGUUCUCUCAAGUUCAGAGGAUGGUGGGGGGCCAUUACAUGAGUAACAGUGUGAGUAAUCUUCAAAUGAUGGUUGAGAUCAUUUUAAACUUCACAUAGCUGCAGCCAUCUGCAAUAAUACAAAUAUCACUCAGUCCCGGACACCCAGCUCACAGAACCUUCAUUUCAUUGAUAGAAGAGGAAAAAUGUUCAAGUGAAGAAAAACAGUUACAUCUGGAUGCAAAGUCAGUUCCCUUCAGAUUGUGUCCUCACCUCCUGUUUACAUGGGGUGAUUACAGUUUCUAGAUGUCUUUUUUUAAAUAUUCAUUUAUUUUACUUGGAAGGCAGAGUUACAGAAAUGAGGGAGAGGGGAGACACACACACACACACACACACAUAAUCUUCCAUCGGCUGGUUCACUCCCCAAAUGGCCAUAAUAGUUGGUGGGCCAGACUGUAGCCAGGAGCUAAGAGUGUCCUCCAAGGCCAUCAAUAGGGAGCUGGAUUGUGAGUGGGGCAGCCAGGAAUUGAACCAGGGCCCACACGGGAUGCCAGUGCUGCAGGCUGCAGCUUUACCUGCUACACCACAGCCCUGGCUCCUCCACAGGUCUCACACAUGAUCUUGACCAUGGGAGGGAUGUCUGAUAGCCGUGACAGCCUUGGGCCUCAUGAGCCCACGUGUCAGGGCUGCUCGUCCAUCC
rnacentral:lncRNA from 1 species